rnacentral:rRNA from 1 species
CCCUUAGAUGUUCUGGGCUGCACGCGCGCUACACUGAAGCUAUCAACACGUUUUCCCUCCCUGAGAAGGGCGGGUAACCUUUUGAAUCAGCUUCGUGGUAGGGAUCGGGGCUUGCAAUUGUUCCCCGUGAACCAGGAAUUCCUAGUAGACGCGAGUCAUAAGCUCGCAUCGAUUAAGUCCCUGCCCUUUGUACACACCGCCCGUCGCUACUACCGAUUGAACGUUUUAGUGAGGCAUUUGGACCGACGUAUCUCAGUUUAACCGCUGGUUUGUGUUGGAAAGACUUCCAAACUUGAGCGUUUAGAGGAAGUAAAAGUCGUAACA